rnacentral:rRNA from 2 species
AAACCAACAGGGAUUGCCCUAGUAACGGCGAGUGAAGCGGCAACAGCUCAAAUUUGAAAUCUGGCCUCGGCCCGAGUUGUAAUUUGCAGAGGAAGCUUUAGGCGCGGCACCUUCUGAGUCCCCUGGAACGGGGCGCCAUAGAGGGUGAGAGCCCCGUAUAGUUGGAUGCCUAGCCUGUGUAAAGCUCCUUCGACGAGUCGAGUAGUUUGGGAAUGCUGCUCAAAAUGGGAGGUAAAUUUCUUCUAAAGCUAAAUACCGGCCAGAGACCGAUAGCGCACAAGUAGAGUGAUCGAAAGAUGAAAAGCACUUUGAAAAGAGGGUUAAAAAGCACGUGAAAUUGUUGAAAGGGAAGCGCUUGUGACCAGACUUGCGCCGGGCUGAUCAUCCGGUGUUCUCACCGGUGCACUCGGCCCGGCACAGGCCAGCAUCGGUUCUCGCGGGGGGAUAAAGGUCCCGGGAACGUAGCUCCUCCGGGAGUGUUAUAGCCCGGGGCGUAAUGCCCUCGCGGGGACCGAGGUUCGCGCAUCUGCAAGGAUGCUGGCGUAAUGGUCAUCAGCGACCCGUCUUGAAACACGGACCAAGGAGUCAAGGUUUUGCGCGAGUGUUUGGGUGUCAAACCCGCACGCGUAAUGAAAGUGAACGUAGGUGAGAGCUUCGGCGCAUCAUCGACCGAUCCUGAUGUUUUCGGAUGGAUUUGAGUAGGAGCGUUAAGCCUUGGACCCGAAAGAUGGUGAACUAUGCUUGGAUAGGGUGAAGCCAGAGGAAACUCUGGUGGAGGCUCGCAGCGGUUCUGACGUGCAAAUCGAUCGUCAAAUCUGAGCAUGGGGGCGAAAGAC